rnacentral:tRNA from 1 species
GGGGGUGUGGCGGAAUUGGCAGACGCACCGGACUCCUAAUCCGGCAACCUGGCAGGGUUUUGUGAGUGCAAGUCCCACCACCCCCA